UAGGGAUACCCGCUGAACUUAAGCAUAUCAAUAAGCGGAGGAAAAGAAANCAACAGGGAUUACCUCAGUAACGGCGAGUGAAGCGGUAACAGCUCAAAUUUGAAAUCUGGCCCUUUUAGGGUCCGAGUUGUAAUUUGUAGAAGAUGCUUUGGGCGUGGCUCCGGUCUAAGUUCCUUGGAACAGGACGUCAUAGAGGGUGAGAAUCCCGUAUGUGACUGGUAGCUUUCGCCCGUGUAAAGCUCUUUCGACGAGUCGAGUUGUUUGGGAAUGCAGCUCAAAAUGGGUGGUAAAUUUCAUCUAAAGCUAAAUAUUGGCCAGAGACCGAUAGCGCACAAGUAGAGUGAUCGAAAGAUGAAAAGCACUUUGGAAAGAGAGUUAAACAGUACGUGAAAUUGUUGAAAGGGAAGCGCUUGCAACCAGACUCGCAGGCCGUCGAUCAUCUCAGGUUCUCCUGGGUGCACUCGGCGGUCUUCGGGCCAGCAUCGGUUUGGGUGGUGGGAUAAAGGCCUUGGGAAUGUAGCUUCUUUCGGGGAGUGUUAUAGCCCUCGGUGCAAUGCCGCCUACCCGGACCGAGGACCGCGCUUCGGCUAGGAUGCUGGCGUAAUGGUUGUAAGCGACC
rnacentral:rRNA from 1 species